rnacentral:misc_RNA from 1 species
AACGCACAUUGCGCCCGCUAGCACUCUAGCGAGCAUGCCUGUUCGAGCGUCAUUUCAACCCUCAAGCCUUAGCUGCUUGGUGUUGGGGCCCUGCAGCGUAACAGUUGCGCGCCCUAAAAAUCAGUGGCGGGCCCGCCGGAAUCCCGAGCGUAGUAGUUUUUCUUCUCGUUCAGGGCGUCUCGGCGGGUUUUCCAGCCGUAAAACUCUUUUAACUCUCAAGGUUGACCUCGGAUCAGGUAGGAAUACCCGCUGAACUUAA